rnacentral:rRNA from 1 species
GUGCAGCAGGCGAGAAUUUUUCUCAAUGGGGGCAGCCCUGAAGGAGCGACGCCGCGUGGAGGAUGAAGGCUUUCGGGUUGUAAACUCCUGUCAUUUGAGAACAAGUGUUGGCAAGUAACUACUGCUAGCUUGAUAGUAACAGAAGAGGAAGGGACGGCUAACUCUGUGCCAGCAGCCGCGGUAAUACAGAGGUCCCAAGCGUUGUUCGGAUUCAUUGGGCGUAAAGGGUGCGUAGGUGGCGCGCUAAGUCAGGUGUGAAAUCUCGGGGCUUAACUCCGAAACUGCAUUUGAUACUGGCGUGCUUGAGGACUGGAGAGGAGACUGGAAUUCAUGGUGUAGCAGUGAAAUGCGUAGAGAUCAUGAGGAAGACCAGUGGCGAAGGCGGGUCUCCGGACAGUUCCUGACACUGAGGCACGAAGGCCA